GGGAAAGGAAGUCGUGUCACUUAGACAACCAGGAGGUUGGCUUAGAAGCAGCCAUCCUUUAAAAAGUGCGUAAUAGCUUACUGGUCAACUACGUGAUGUGGCGCCGAAAAUAUAACGGGGCUCAAGAUAAGCACCGAAGCGACGAAUUGGAUUUGUACUUGAUACAAACUCCAGUGGUAGAGGAGCGUUCUAUAUGCAUUGAAGCCAAACGCGCGAGCGAUGGUGGAGCGUAUAGAAGUGAGAAUGCCGGCAUGAGUAACGCAAAUCAGUCGAGAUUACUGAUCACCGAAUACCCGAGGUUUCCGCAGCACUGCACAUCAACUGCGGGUUAGGCGGUCCUAAGGCGAGGCCGUAAUUGGCGUAGUCGAUGGACAGACGGUUAAUAUUCCGUCCCUUCUAUAGAUGUUCCCAUCAGAGACUGAGAACUUUUGUUCUUACGAGAAAAUCUGAUGAUUAAUAGUCUAUAGGAUCCGUACCGUAAACCGACACAGGUGGGUGGGGAGAGUAUCCUCAGGUGAUCGAGAUAACCUUCGCUAAGGAAUUCGGCAAAUUGCUGUCGUAACUUAGGGAGAAGGCAGCCCCUUCGUAUGCUUGCAUAUGUUGGGGGGCACAAACAAGGCUCAAACGACUGUUUAACAAAAACACAGCUCCCUGCUAACUCGAAAGAGGAUGUAUAGGGGGUGACGCCUGCCCAAUGCUGGAAGGUUAAAGAAGUUGGUUAGUUUCCUCGGAAACAAAGCUGGCGACUGAAGCCCCAGUGAAUGGCAGCAGUAACUAUAACUGUUCUAAGGUACCGAAGUUCCUUGUCGGGUAAUUUCCGACCUGCAGGAAAGGCGUAACGAGUUGAGCACUGUCUUCAGCGAAGGGCUCGGUGAAAUUGUAAUGGCCGUGAAGAUACGGUCUACCUACACCAGGACAAAAAGACCCCGUGGAGCUUUACUAUAGCUUGGCAUUGAUUUAAGAAUGUUUCUGUGUAGCGUAGCGAGGAGACUUUGAAGCGUAGGCGUCAGCUUACGUGGAGUCGCCAAUGAAACACUCGCCUUUAAUAUUUUUAAAUCUUACCUUGAGCCGUGAAUCCGGUUCGGGGACAGUGUCUGGUAGGUAGUUUGUCUGGGGCGGAUGCCUGGCAAAAAGUAACCCAGGUGCCCAAAGGUUCUCUUAGUCCGGAUGGAAAUCGGACCACAAGUGUAAAGGCAAAAGAGAGCUUGACUGCAAGGCUGACAAGCCGAGCAGCAGCGAAAGCUGGGCUUAGUGAUCCUGCUUAACUUAGAGGUAAGGAAGCAGCUUAUCGGAUUAAAGUUACCCCGGGGAUAACAGAGUGGUCGCGCCCAAUAGCCCGUAUUGCCGGCGCGGUUCGCUACCUCGAUGUCGGCUCAUCGCAUCCUGGGGCUGUAGCCGGUCCCAAGGGUUGGUCUGUUCGCCCAUUAAAGCGGUACGCGAGCUGGGUUCAAACCGUCGUGAGACAGGUUGGUCUCUAUCCGGUGUAGGCGUGUAAUGAUUUGAGAGGAUAUUCCGUUAGUACGAGAGGACCGCGGAGUGCGAAUCUCUGGUGUAUCAGUUGUUUGUCGAGUUUGCUUGCAAACUCGGAGGGCAUAGCUGAGUAGCUACAUUCGUUUAGGAUAAGCGCUGAAAGCAUAUAAGCGCGAAGCCGACCUCAAGAUUAAAUCAAGGCCCCUGGGAGAAUACCAGGUUGAUAGGCUGCAAGUGUACGCGUAGCAAUACGUUUAGCUGAGCAGUACUAAUAAGCCGUUAGUAUUUUA
rnacentral:rRNA from 1 species